GAGUUUGAUCCUGGCUCAGAAUGAACGCUGGCGGCAUGCCUAACACAUGCAAGGGGAACGAAGGCUUCGGCCUUAGUGGCGCACGGGUGCGUAACGCGUGGGAAUCUGCCCUCAGGUUCGGAAUAACAGCGAGAAAUUGCUGCUAAUACCGGAUGAUAUCGCGAGAUCAAAGAUUUAUCGCCUGAGGAUGAGCCCGCGUAGGAUUAGCUAGUUGGUGUGGUAAAGGCGCACCAGGGCGACGAUCCUUAGCUGGUCUGAGAGGAUGAUCAUCCACACUGGGACUGAGACACGGCCCAGACUCCUACGGUAGGCAGCAGUGGGGAAUAUUGGACGAUGGGCGAAAGCCUGAUCCAGCAAUGCCGCGUGAGUGAUGAAGGCCUUAGGUUGUAAAGCUCUUUUACCCGGGAUGAUAAUGACAGUACCGGGAGA
rnacentral:rRNA from 1 species